UCUAUCGAUCCGCCAGUUUGGACGGUAAGCAAACUGCAGGGGGUCUGUGAUGGCAAUCAGCACCAGUUCCUGAGUUGUGAGACAGUGUGGACCAACACGUCCCAUAAGAACGACAUCUCUGUCCCACAUGGGAAAUCACCACAGAGCAAUCUGCUUGGGGCCAUCUGGACCAUUUCAUUCUGCUGGUAACUGUAUGGCUGUGACUGCAUGGCAAAGAAAUCACGACCCAUUUGAGGUAGGCUCCUUCAGGUCACUAGUUACACAAAGAGGCCUGAUCUUUGUCACUAAACUGCACACAGUAACUUUAUUUAAUCAUAUUUAUGAAUUUAUUCAUAUUUGUAGAUGCUGUGAUGGAGCAAAAAGUGGAGAAAAUAGUCAAUAUUAA